GAUCUGACAUGAUCUAACCGUGUCUCAAAGAGACUUUCAGUCCGGCUCUUCUCAGAGUGAACACUUGUACAAUGGAUCUUCAUUCAGUUAUUCUGUUCUAUGCCUCAGCAGCUGUGGUCUUUGGAAAUUUCAUCAAACCAAACAAAACCGAUGUUAUUUAUGAGGAGGGUUCAAGUGUUACAUUACUCUGUAGUCAUUCACCUGCAGCUACAGAUUAUCUCCACUGGUACCGUCAGUAUGGAAGAUCAAAACCUGAAUUUCUUGUACUCGCCUACGGUAGUGCAAAAGAAACGGAGGUGUCUGAUGUAGAUCCAAGAUUCUCUGUUACAGUUGAAAAAGGGGAGAAAAUCCAUGUGGAUCUGAAGAUCUCCUCUGCUGCUGUAUCAGACUCUGCUCUGUACUACUGUGCUCUGGCGCCCACAGUGACAGGAAACACAUCAGCUCUCUACAAAAACCUGUUACAAUGAGAGACAAGAGAGAAAAGACAAAGGCAAUGAGAGAGUGGUAACUGCCAAUUACAGUAAUAUGUCUGAGAAAUAACUAGAACAAGUAAAUAAACCACAGGCAGUUACUGAAGUCAGAAAGUAGACAACU